GAAAGAAACAAAGAAAGAGUAUGUUCUUGUGUGCAAGGCCGUGUAAGGAAGAACCAGGCAGGCUGUCAAUGCCACACCACACCCCUUCUCUCCGCCAAGCUUCCUCCUGAGACCGCAAGAGCCAGGUGGUCCUGGAAAGGUCAGAGCGGAGAGCGUCUAAGAAAAUAACGCUGUCUCUGAGUCAGGUUUCCUGUUUCAGCUCAAAGACCACUCAGGAAAUCACAGAGGAGCAGUUUAUAGAAAUGAAGAAGGACCACGACUGUGCCAGCUGACCAGAGCCACUCGGAGGGGCUGCCCCCAGCCAUACUGCUCGGCCUCCAGCGCCUCCUGGAGGCACUCAGCUCCUUUACCUGAGUCAGGAGCAGCCCAGCUGAGAACCAGCAGAUCUUCUGAUGCUGAAAUAAGCACUGUGCCUUCCACAGAAUUGCCCCGAUAAUGCCGGCUCUCCCCCGCCCUUUUCAAACGACAGUGUGGAGAUAACACUAGUUAAGAGAACCUGGUUUUAC